UUACAUACACACAUAGUCACACAGUCACAGUUACCCACAGUUAAAUACCCUUUUACACACACACACCGUCACCCACAGUAACAUACAUACAAUUACCCACAGUCAUACAUCUCCUUCUCCUGCACAUUACUGAUUAGGGCAACGGGAGGAGAGGAGGCUGGACUUUCAAUGCCUGCAGUCCCUGAUGUCUAGUGGUUGGGGAAAGAGGGACUCCUUCCUGCUUCCCUCUGCCUAGGGCUGUUACCGGGUAUCACCCAACCUGCCUGUAUCAGCAAGACCCAGUAAGCCAUGGGGGUAAGAGUAAGAGGAUAAUAAAAUCUUCUUACGGGAUUCCAUGUUCACUGUCUAUGUACGUAUUACAUAGCUCCACAGUCUGGUCAUCUGUUCAUCCUUUCUUAUGAGACCAAGGAAAGCGGACUUGUAGACUGCUUUCCAUCCCACAGCUCACUUGUUCAGCCCCAACCAUGAUAAGCCUUAAAUAAGCCUGAUGGGUCACUAUAGGGCAGAUGGGUACUCACUGUGUAAUCCUAGGCACACUCUAUCACACACUUUAUUUUCACUAUCUCAAAUACCAAUAAUCAGCAUUGAGUGUCUGGCAAUAAUCAGCAUUGAGUGUCUGACAAUUUCACUUUAAGUAUGAUGUGAAUUACUGGGACUUGUGUUAUCGGUAUUUGAGACAGGGAGAAUAAAGUGUGUGAGAGAGUGUGGCAAAUUAACCCAGUGUGCUAACGGACUUAUGUUCCUUCAUUCUAGGUUCAAGGGAUAUUUGAUAUGUCCUAGAUAAGUGGGUGCGGAACAUUACACCACCCGCACAUUUGCAUGAAAUGGCUUGAUUGCUUGAUUAACACAACUGAUUCACUCAGUCAAGCCAAUUUCAAAACAAAAGCAGGGACGAGCAAUCUAGUAGCUGUCAG